UCGAGAAUCUUCGGCAAUGGGGGAAACCCUGACCGAGCGACGCCGCGUGCGGGAUGAAGGCCUUCGGGUUGUAAACCGCUGUCGUAAGGGAACAAAUUUACGGGGGUACUCCCCUGUAAUUGAGUGAUCUUAGGAGGAAGGACGGGCUAAGUUCGUGCCAGCAGCCGCGGUAAGACGAACCGUCCGAACGUUAUUCGGUAUCACUGGGCUUAAAGAGUUCGUAGGCGGCCCGACGGGUGAGGUGUGAAAUCCCUCGGCUCAACCGAGGAAUUGCGCUUCAAACCGUCAGGCUUGAGGGAGAUAGAGGUGAGCGGAACAGAUGGUGGAGCGGUGAAAUGCGUUGAUAUCAUCUGGAACACCGGUGGCGAAAGCGGCUCACUGGAUCUUUUCUGACGCUGAGGAACGAAAGCUAGGGUAGCGAACGGGAGUUAGAUACCCCGGUAGUCCUAGCCGUAAACGAUGAGCACUAGUCUGUGGGGACCCUCACAUCCUCUCGGACGUAGCG
rnacentral:rRNA from 1 species